rnacentral:rRNA from 1 species
UACGUAGGGUGCGAGCGUUAAUCGGAAUUACUGGGCGUAAAGCGUGCGCAGGCGGCUUCGCAAGUCAGGCGUGAAAUCCCCGGGCUUAACCUGGGAAUGGCGUCUGAAACUACGGAGCUGGAGUGUGGCAGAGGGAGGUAGAAUUCCACGUGUAGCGGUGAAAUGCGUAGAUAUUCGGAGGAACACCAGUGGCGAAGGCGGCUCACUGGUCCAUUACUGACGCUGAGGUGCGAAAGCGUGGGGAGCAAACAGG